GCAGCCGCCACGGUAAUACAGAGGGUGCGAGCGUUAAUCGGAUUUACUGGGCGUAAAGCGUGCGUAGGCGGCUUUUUAAGUCGGAUGUGAAAUCCCUGAGCUUAACUUAGGAAUUGCAUUCGAUACUGGGAAGCUAGAGUAUGGGAGAGGAUGGUAGAAUUCCAGGUGUAGCGGUGAAAUGCGUAGAGAUCUGGAGGAAUACCGAUGGCGAAGGCAGCCAUCUGGCCUAAUACUGACGCUGAGGUACGAAAGCAUGGGGAGCAAACAGGAUUAGAUACCCCCGUAGUCCCUGUCUCUUAUAA
rnacentral:rRNA from 1 species